rnacentral:rRNA from 1 species
CCUACGGGAGGCUGCAGUCGAGAAUCAUUCACAAUGGGGGAAACCCUGAUGGUGCGACGCCGCGUGGGGGAAUGAAGGUCUUCGGAUUGUAAACCCCUGUCAUGUGGGAGCAAAUUAAAAAGAUAGUACCACAAGAGGAAGAGACGGCUAACUCUGUGCCAGCAGCCGCGGUAAUACAGAGGUCUCAAGCGUUGUUCGGAAUCACUGGGCGUAAAGCGUGCGUAGGCUGUUUCGUAAGUCGUGUGUGAAAGGCGCGGGCUCAACCCGCGGACGGCACAUGAUACUGCGAGACUAGAGUAAGGGAGAGGGAACCGGAAUUCUCGGUGUAGGAGUGAAAUGCGUAGAUAUCGAGAGGAACACUCGUGGCGAAGGCGGGUUCCUGGACAUUAACUGACGCUGAGGCACGAAGGCCAGGGGAGCGAAAGGGAUUAGAUACCCGAGUAGUC